UCAUCUAGUGUACCACCAGUGGCACCCGUAACACAGUUUGAGAGCCAUUACUAUAGAGGGUUGAGGUUUGUUCCUGUCAGUCUGAGGGAGAUUUUUGUGCCUUUGUUUCCUGUCUGUUUGCUCAUUUGGGGUUCAGACCUGGACGUUUUUUAAAGAAGCUUUGUGACUGUUGUUUUGUGACUGACUGCUGUUCAAAGCACUGUAAAAAUAAACUUGAACUUGCUUUGUGAAACACUCCCCACGGGUAAACCCCACAACAGGAAAACAGACAGUGUUGCGCUUCUCUUUGAAGCAGUACGGUAAAGCAGCAGCCAACUGGAGGCCAGGUUGAAGAUCAUAUGCUCCUCUUUCCCCGCUCUUAUUCCGACAGGCCCCGCCUCUCCCCCCGCAGUGUGAGCGGGGAGUGAAAUGCGGCCGGUAGAAAAUCAUUACAGUGCCUCAUUGUUUGUUGUCGGAGCUGCAGUGUGGCGGGUUUUGCAUGUCGACGCUGCCACGUUUACAGAAACGCAGAACAGAGCCACCUCGCUGCACAAAGUGCGCCCAUAAACAUUAUUAUUACCCUCACCUGUGUGCCAACAGAGGCACAGCGGCGGGCAGGCUGACUGAUGGGCAGAUAAAGGAGAGGCUUGGUGUGAAUGGAGGAGCUGGAGGAGCUCACACUGGUGGGUGGGGGCUCUUCUCGCUGGUCUCUCGCCCCCACAGAAGGGCGAGCAGGAGAAAAGCUGAGACUAAGUCUAAAAACAGCAGCUCUAAUGAGGGGCUGUAUCUGAAUACAGAGGGGCUGUGAGCUGCUGAAACACUGCUGCUCUGCUUCAGGCUGCAUUCCAGUGACCUCUGAGAAUGACGUCACACCCAGUCUGACUGCGUUCAUUCAUACACUGAAAUAUCAGACAGCACUGUUAGACUUUCCCAGGUUAACAGUACUGACCAUGGCAGGUUAUAAACGCAUUUUAUCUUAUUUUUGUGCAUCCAAGCACCAAAACAGUGUUUAUAUUUCAGAGUUUAAAUAGAAAAGGCACCAUUAUCAUGCCUGUGUUUUGCUCACUGGUUUGUAAUUUUUUUUAACCAAUUUAUGGUAAUCUGAAAAUGCAGUUUUGCAGAGGACCUUAUGUUAAAGGUAUUUUGUACAUUAGCCACUGUGGUAGUGGGAGGACAAGUGGUCAGGAGGUUACCGAAGAGAGGUGAUGCAGUGACGUUUGCCAUUAAAUACUCUUAGCCCACCCCUGGCUAAACCAACAACUAAUUAAUUAGUUGGCAGGUGGGUAAGACAAUUAUACAUGAUUGUUAUUGUACACUUUUUACAUAUUUACAGACAAGAAGACAGGCAUGCACUAAUUUAGAUGUCCAGGUAAGUAUUAAUUACAAUGUUAGAAUGUUAAUACAUCGUUUUCUCUGUUUUCUUUCCACAGGUACCCCAGGCCCCCCUGCCCCAGAGACCCUUGGUCUCUACCAAGACCUUAAGGACCUGAGUGGCUGCGCUUUGUACAGGUUCCAGGUUGUCAGACUCAACACGUGAAUCAGUGGCAAUAUGCAAUGUUUGCAUUGACGGCAGGAGAGGCCUGACCUUCCCAAGGUCGGCCCAGUCUGACUCCACUCGCUCCUGUUACAAGAAAUCAAGAAUAACUAGUCUGCUGCCUCGCUGAGAGAUCUUUUGACAGUUUCCCCAUCCUUAAGUGAUUUCCUACAUUUCACAACAGCAUGACUCAUUCUGAAUGAUGCUAUGGUAGCAGCUUUCGCUUGGGAGCCGGCUUUGUGAAGAUGGACUGUUGGGCAAUUAAUUUAAAAGUUCUUUCGCUUUUAUUAGGAGGUAACUUUGGCAGGGGAAUUCAUCGCUCCUGUGUAUAGUUCAGAAAUUCCUCUUUACUUUGUUUUGUAGAUGCAUUUUAGGUCUUUUCUCAAUAUGCGUUUUAGUGUGAUUUUGCAUCCUCGUGUUUUU